rnacentral:rRNA from 1 species
GAUGAACGCUGGCGGCGUGCCUAAUACAUGCAAGUCGAGCGAACAGACGAGGAGCUUGCUCCUCUGACGUUAGCGGCGGACGGGUGGGUAACACGUGGAUAACCUACCUAUAAGACUGGGAUAACUUCGGGAAACCGGAGCUAAUACCGGAUAAUAUAUUGAACCGCAUGGUUCAAUAGUGAAAGACGGUUUUGCUGUCACUUAUAGAUGGAUCCGCGCCGCAUUAGCUAGUUGGUAAGGUAACGGCUUACCAAGGCAACGAUGCGUAGCCGACCUGAGAGGGUGAACGGCCACACUAGAACUGAGACACGGUCCAGACUCCUACGGGAGGCAGCAGUAGGGAAUCUUCCGCAAUGGGCGAAAGCCUGACGGAGCAACGCCGCGUGAGUGAUGAAGGUCUUCGGAUCGUAAAACUCUGUUAUUAGGGAAGAACAAAUGUGUAAGUAACUAUGCACGUCUUGACGGUACCUAAUCAGAAAGCCACGGCUAACUACGUG